rnacentral:rRNA from 1 species
AUUGAACGCUGGCGGCAGGCAUAACAUAUGCAAGUCGAGCGGAUGAAGGGAGCUUGCUCCUGGAUUCAGCGGCGGACGGGUGAGUAAUGCCUAGGAAUCUGCCUGGUAGUGGGGGAUAACGUCCGGAAACGGGCGCUAAUACCGCAUACGUCCUGAGGGAGAAAGUGGGGGAUCUUCGGACCUCACGCUAUCAGAUGAGCCUAGGUCGGAUUAGCUAGUUGGUGGGGUAAAGGCCUACCAAGGCGACGAUCCGUAACUGGUCUGAGAGGAUGAUCAGUCACACUGGAACUGAGACACGGUCCAGACUCCUACGGGAGGCAGCAGUGGGGAAUAUUGGACAAUGGGCGAAAGCCUGAUCCAGCCAUGCCGCGUGUGUGAAGAAGGUCUUAGGAUUGUAAAGCACUUUAAGUUGGGAGGAAGGGCAGUAAGUUAAUACCUUGCUGUUUUGACGUUACCAACAGAAUAAGCACCGGCUAACUUCGUG